AAUGCGGAUGUCAUGAGAAGUUACACCAAAAUAUUUCAACACUCAAGCGCGCAAGUGAUCAGCCCUGCUACAGGACACUCUGGAAAUCAGAUUGAUCAUCCUGGCCGUGUCAGGAACUAUAAAAGGAAAAGAAAAAAAGUGGGGAGAAGGCAACGGAACGGGGGUGAGAAAUCUAAGAAGGCAGAUGUAAAGAGAGGAUAAGAGAAGGAGAGGGACAGCGGGUGAGAAAGACGCAGGAAGAUGAGGAUUGGACACCUGAUGCUAUAGGGUACAUGCAGUCCACGAUCUCCUGGAUCUGCGAGAGCUCCAGGUUUUUCAUGAAGUCAUUGUCCAAGAUGGCUUCCUUGAUCAAAUCCUUGGACCUACAGACAAGCGGAGGACCGUCCUCCCCGAGUGCGUCAGGCUGCGACCCGGAGAGAGCGCAUGGCGAGAAGGGCGCCUGCAGGAAUCUGUGGCACAGUGCAGUCUGCCGCUCCAGAGAGAGAGAGAGAGAGAGCCGCGCUCGUCUCGCAUGAAUAAUGGACUCAGUGAGAGAGCCAUUGCUCGGAGAACCAUGUCAUCAUGCCUCAGUGGUUCGCCCUGAGGC